rnacentral:rRNA from 1 species
UACGUAGGGUGCAAGCGUUGUCCGGAAUUAUUGGGCGUAAAGAGCUCGUAGGCGGUCUGUCGCGUCUGCUGUGAAAAUCCAGGGCUCAACCCUGGACCUGCAGUGGGUACGGGCAGACUAGAGUGCGGUAGGGGAGAUCGGAAUUCCUGGUGUAGCGGUGAAAUGCGCAGAUAUCAGGAGGAACACCGGUGGCGAAGGCGGAUCUCUGGGCCGUAACUGACGCUGAGGCGCGAAAGCCAGGGGAGCGAAUGGG